AAACAAAACUGGAACUGUUGUUGA
rnacentral:piRNA from 1 species